rnacentral:rRNA from 1 species
GGGCCCGCACAAGCAGCGGAGCGUGUGGUUAAUUCGAUGCUACACGAAGAACUUACCUGGUUUGACAUAUAGGUUGUAGGGAACUGAAAGGGACCGACCCUUCGGGGAGCCUAUACAGGUGUUGCAUGGCUGUCGUCAGCUCGUGUCGUGAGAUGUUCGGUUAAGUCCGCUAACGAGCGCAACCCUCGUCGUAUGUUAUAUGUGUCAUACGAGACUGCCGGUAAAAGCCGGAGGAAGGUGAGGAUGAUGUCAAGUCAGCAUGACCUUUAUAUCCAGGGCUACACACACGCUACAAUGGUCUGUACAAUGGGUAGCCAAGCCGCGAGGCGGAGCCAAUCCUGAAAGCAGGCCUCAGUUCAGAUUGCAGUCUGCAACUCGACUGCAUGAAGCCGGAGUUGCUAGUAACCGCAGGUCAGCAAUACUGCGGUGAAUACGUUCCCGGGUCUU